UUGGGGAUUGUCCAUUGCAAUUAUUGGACAUGAACGAGGAAUUCCUAGUAAGUGCAAGUCAUCAGCUUGCGUUGAUUACGUCCCUGCCCUUUGUACACACCGCCCGUCGCUACUACCGAUUGAACGGCUUAGUGAGACCUCCGGAUUGAAUUGUCGAGUACUUUACCGUCUUGACUCCUUGAAAAGCUGGUCAAACUUGGUCGUUUAGAGGAAGUAAAAGUCGUAACAAGGUAACCGUAGAUGAAUCUGCGGUUGGAUCAUUA
rnacentral:rRNA from 1 species